rnacentral:rRNA from 1 species
CAGCAGCCACGGGAAUACGUAGGUGGCAAGCGUUGUCCGGAAUUAUUGGGCGUAAAGGGCUCGCAGGCGGUUUCUUAAGUCUGAUGUGAAAGCCCCCGGCUCAACCGGGGAGGGCCAUUGGAAACUGGGAGGCUUGAGUAUAGGAGAGAAGAGUGGAAUUCCACGUGUAGCGGUGAAAUGCGUAGAGAUGUGGAGGAACACCAGUGGCGAAGGCGACUCUUUGGCCUAUAACUGACGCUGAGGCGCGAAAGCGUGGGGAGCAAACAGGAUUAGAUACCCCCGUAGUCCCUGUCUCUUAUAC